rnacentral:rRNA from 1 species
CCUACGGGCGGCAGCAGUGGGGAAUAUUGGGCAAUGGGCGCAAGCCUGACCCAGCAACGCCGCGUGAAGGAAGAAGGCUUUCGGGUUGUAAACUUCUUUUCUGAGGGACGAAGAAAGUGACGGUACCUCAGGAAUAAGACUCGGCUAACUACGUGCCAGCAGUCGCUGUAAUACGGAGGUGGCAGUCGUUAUCCGGAUUUAUUGGGUGUAAGGGGCGUGUAGGCGGGAAGGCAAGUCAGAUGUGAAAACUGAGGGCCCAACCCUGAGCCUGCAUUUGAAACUGUUUUUCUUGAGUGCUGGAGAGGUAAGCGGAAUGCGGGGUGUAGCGGUGAAAUGCGUAGAUAUACGGAGGAACACCAGUGGCGAAGGCGGAUUGCUGGACAGUAACUGACGCUGAGGCGCGAAAGCGUGGGGAGCAAACAGGAUUAGAUACCCGAGUAGUC